rnacentral:lncRNA from 1 species
CUCUAAGCAUCUAUCCAUCUUUCCGGGUCUGCGUAUUCUGAGAUAUGCGUCCAUUUCCGGCUGAAGUAAGCGGAGCUUGCAUGUGAUGCCCUUGGGUGCGAAAGCACCUAGCACAGAAUUUGAGUCCAUCACCAAUACUUCACCUGAAAAAAUGCACAGAUACGCAAUACAGUCCGAACCAGCAUUUUUUGACCAACGGAUUCUCUGGAACGUCAUUGUCCUCUCAUAUAGUGAGCCUUCGCUCCAGGGUGGCGUGACGGUACGUUUGGAUCAAAUCAAUACACAAAUAACUUAAGGCACAAUAUCAUUGCUGACCACUUUGGUAAAUCGACGAAUUGAUGCUUUGUUUUAUCUGCUGUGGUCGAGCUUUGCUCUCGUGGGCUCCCAUCAUCGUCACACGUAUAUGUAACAUUCACUCGUACUCAAUACAGUGCUCCCGCGGCCCUGGUGGCUGCCGCAUGAGGUUCGAAUUCUUGCUUUGUACCAAAUAGCCACUCUUAAAUAGUCACAGCCAAUUCGAAGUAUGCACGUAUCAAUUAUUCCGCCUGUGGCCUAUUGACAACUGAGUUGCACGUUGGUAGCCACUUCAGGCGGUGUUGGUAUGUGACAGACCGGACUUCUUACGUAAGGUGAAGGUGGCUUUUUUCUACCAGUUCUGGUCGAGAAGAUGGGAGUUCAUUGACGUGGACGGCUUAAACGUCGCCAUCGCGGCCUUGUAUUUUUUCCACUCCUCAAAGAGAUAGGCACAAAGUAUUUAUAUUAGUGAGAC